rnacentral:rRNA from 1 species
UACGAAGGGGGCUAGCGUUGUUCGGAAUUACUGGGCGUAAAGCGUGCGCAGGCGGCUUCUCAAGUCAGGGGUGAAAGCCCAGAGCUCAACUCUGGAAUUGCCUUUGAGACUGAGUGGCUUGAGUACGAGAGAGGUGAGUGGAAUUCCCAGUGUAGAGGUGAAAUUCGUAGAUAUUGGGAAGAACACCGGUGGCGAAGGCGGCUCACUGGCUCGUUUCUGACGCUCAGGCACGACAGCGUGGGGAUCAAACAGG